rnacentral:rRNA from 1 species
AGCGAACGCUGGCGGCAGGCUUAACACAUGCAAGUCGAACGGUCCUUCGGAAUAGUGGCGGACGGGUGAGUAACACGUGGGAACGUACCCUUAGGUUCGGAACAACACAGGGAAACUUGUGCUAAUACCGGAUAAGCCCUUCGGGGGAAUGAUUUAUCGCCUUUGGAGCGGCCCGCGUCUGAUUAGCUUGUUGGUGAGGUAAUGGCUCACCAAGGCUACGAUCAGUAGCUGGUCUGAGAGGAUGGCCAGCCACACUGGGACUGAGACACGGCCCAGACUCCUACGGGAGGCAGCAGUGGGGAAUCUUGCGCAAUGGGCGAAAGCCUGACGCAGCCAUGCCGCGUGGAUGAUGAAGGUCUUAGGAUUGUAAAAUCCUUUCACCGGGGACGAUAAUGACGGUACCCGGAGAAGAAGCCCCGGCUAACUUCGUGCCAGCCGCCGCAGUAA